rnacentral:rRNA from 1 species
GAUGAACGCUGGCGGCGUGCCUAAUUCAUGCAAGUCGAGCGAACAGAUGAGGAGCUUGCUCCUCUGACGUUAGCGGCGGACGGGUGAGUAACACGUGGAUAACCUACCUAUAAGACUGGGAUAACUUCGGGAAACCGGAGCUAAUACCGGAUCAUAUAUUGAACCGCAUGGUUCAAUAGAGAAAGACGGUUUUGCUGUCACUUAUAGAUGGAUCCGCGCCGCAUUAGCUAGUUGGUAAGGUAACGGCUUACCAAGGCAACGAUGCGUAGCCGACCUGAGAGGCUGAUCGGCCACACUGGAACUGAGACACGGUCCAGACUCCUACGGGAGGCAGCAGUAGGGAAUCUUCCGCAAUGGGCGAAAGCCUGACGGAGCAACGCCGCGUGAGUGAUGAAGGUCUUCGGAUCGUAAAGCUCUGUUAUUAGGGAAGAACAAAUGUGUAAGUAACUAUGCACGUCUUGACGGUACCUAAUCAGAAAGCCACGGCUAACUACGUG